GGGAGAGAUUUCCUGGCCGGUGGCGCACACACGAAGCCUGACCAUUUCCAUUUCUACCCCCAGCUCUUCCUCCCACGCGCCCACCACGACGGCGGGCCGACCACGUUCCCCUCCGCCGCCGCCGGCGCCCUGACCGCCCGCCGUGUCCCCGGCCCGCAGGCCGUCCUCCCCUCCUCCUCCUCCUCCCGCCCUCGCGCUCGCUCCUCCGGUCCGCCCACCAACCUACCAACCCGGGCCCCGAUCCGCGCGGAGGGGGGAGGAAAUGGCGGUGGUCCUCGCGUGGCUCAACGCCAGGGUCGUCGAUCCCCUGCUGCAGGUCAUCCAGAGGGGCGCGGAGCCGAAGCAGCUGGCCUUCUCCGCCGCGCUCGGCGUCACCAUCGGGGUCUUCCCCAUCUGCGGGACCACUGUUAUUAUCGGUGGACUUGCUGUGGCGAUGUUAGGAGCUCGUUGCAAUGCCGUUACUGUCAUGGUUCUCAAUUUAGCUGCUACUCCUCUUGAGCUAAGCUUGAUCAUUCCUUUCUUGCGUUUGGGAGAAGUAGUCACAGGCGGUGAGCACUUCCCCUUGACAUCUGAUGCAUUCAAGAUGGUCCUCACAGGCCACGCCUCAAAGGACGUGCUACUCAGCAUUUUUCAUGCGAUUCUUGGCUGGAUGGUUGCUGCACCGUUUGUGAUGGCUGGGCUGUACACCUUGUCCGUCCCUUGUUUCAAGUACCUAGUCGGCAGGUUCGGCGUCAUCCCAUCGAGCCCCAGGACGCCGAUGAAAGCGGUAUAAUGUAGCUGUUUCCCCCUAAAGCAACUUUAUAACGCCCCUGAAGCCGUGUGCGUGAAUUCAUUAUAUUGUCCGAUUGAGAUGGUCCGGUCAAUGAUUUACUCAGCCGUCCUAACUCCUAGGCGCUGGCGCAUAAAUAGAUUUGCAGAGACAUAUACUCAUGUUAGCACCAGACUCAAAAGGCAUAUACUCCUGUGUUAGCAUGCCACAUGUUGAGGCGCUGUAUCUUUUAUAUAUCAAGUUGCUUCAAUGCUCUUUUUUCUUUCUUUCUUUCUUUCACGUGUGCAACUCACCUGUUUCAAACUUGAUGAUAUUCAUUCCCUCAAAAAAGAAGACUUGAUGAUAUUCAUGCAUUACUUUGGAAAACUAUGGGCUGUUCAUUUGAGACAUAUUUCUUUUCAUAUCUACUAGGUUUUGCUUUGCCCGAACGAAUCUGAAUCCGAAAUCGGGGUUGCGCCGUUGCUCGUCCACGCCGACUGAUCUUAUGGUGCCAUCAUCUGGACAUCAUCAGCCAUUCUCAUCUGCAUAUGUGUGUCCACAGCCAUUCUCAUCUGCUGGCUCAUGUUAUGUAAACUGUGAUCUACUGUCUGUUGAUACUAUGCUGACUGUAUUGCGCUUAACUGUUAGUACUCCCGCUAGGGAAAGCUCGUGUAUUAUCGCGGAGCUCUAGGCAAAUAUGUACAUAAACAGGUGACAUGUGUUCUGCUAAAAUAUAUCUCUCGUGCGAUGAUACAAUAGUGAUAUAAACGUCCAUAAUACAGACUGAGUUUCGGAGGUCAAAACUCAAGUCCUGAAGCUCGGAAGGCAUGUUCCGGAGAGCAAUAACCACGUGUGUGACUGCAUAUAAAAUGCAUCGAUACAUGUGUAAGCUUUGUGAGCUCAUGCUUGGCUUCUUCCAGCAAUGUACCGUUAAAAAUGAGG
rnacentral:rRNA from 1 species